rnacentral:rRNA from 1 species
GACGAACGCUGGCGGCGUGCUUAACACAUGCAAGUCGAGCGGUAAGGCCCUUUCGGGGGUACACGAGCGGCGAACGGGUGAGUAACACGUGGGUGACCUGCCCUUAGCUCUGGGAUAAGCCUGGGAAACUGGGUCUAAUACCGGAUAUGACUCCAUAACGCAUGUUGUGGGGUGGAAAGCCUUGUGCGGCUAGGGAUGGGCCCGCGGCCUAAUCAGCUUGUUGGUGGGGUGAUGGCCCACCAAGGCGACGACGGGUAGCCGGCCUGAGAGGGCGACCGGCCACACUGGGACUGAGACACGGCCCAGACUCCUACGGGAGGCAGCAGUGGGGAAUCUUGCGCAAAUGGGCGAAAGACCUGACGCAGCGACGCCGCGUGGGG